rnacentral:rRNA from 1 species
GGGGCAACUCUUAUUUUAGUGGCGGACGGGUGCGGAAUGCGUAGGAAUCGCCCAUGCAGUGGGGGAUAACUUGGGGAAACUCAAGCUAAUACCGCAUAAUUCCUACGGGAGAAAGAGGGCCUAUACUUGUAAGCUUAGAUGAGCCUGCGUAAGAUUAGCUAGAUGGUGGGGUAAAGGCCUACCAUGGCGACGAUCUUUAGCUGGUUUGAGAGGAUGAUCAGCCACACUGGGACUGAGACACGGCCCAGACUCCUACGGGAGGCAGCAGUGGGGAAUAUUGCACAAUGGGCGCAAGCCUGAUGCAGCCAUGCCGCGUGUGUGAAGAAGGCCUUCGGGUUGUAAAGCACUUUCAAUUGGGAAGAAAGAUUUAGAGUUAAUACCUCUUAAUAUUGACGUUACCUACAGAAGAAGCACCGGCUAACUCUGUGCCAGCAGCCGCGGUAAUGCAGAGGGUGCGAGCGUUAAUCGGAAUUACUGGGCGUAAAGCGCGCGUAGGUGGAUAUUUAAGUCGGGUGUGAAAUCCCUGGGCUCAACCCAGGAACUGCAUUCGAUACUGGAUGUCUAGAGUAUGGUAGAGGAAUGUGGAAUUCCGGGUGUAGCGGUGAAAUGCGUAGAUAUCCGGAGGAACACCAGUGGCGAAGGCGGCUUCCUGGACCAACACUGACGCUGAGGUGCGAAAGCGUGGGGAGCGAACAGGAUUAGAUACCCUGGUAGUCCACGCCGUAAACGAUGAGAACUAGAUGUUGGGGGGCAUGUCCCUUUAGUGUCGAAGCUAACGCGUUAAGUUCUCCGCCUGGGGAGUACGGCCGCAAGGUUAAAACUCAAAUGAAUUGACGGGGGCCCGCACAAGCGGUGGAGCAUGUGGUUUAAUUCGAUGCAACGCGAAAAACCUUACCUACGCUUGACAUCCUCGGAACUUGUCAGAAAUGACUUGGUGCCUUCGGGAGCCGUGAGGCAGGUGCUGCAUGGCUGUCGUCAGCUCGUGUCGUGAGGUGUUGGGUUAAGUCCCGCAACGAGCUCAACCCCUAUCUCUAGUUGCCAGCACGUAAUGGUGGGAACUCUAAGGAGCUGCCGGUGUUAAACCGGAGGAAGGUGGGGAUGACGUCAAGUCCUCAUGGCCCUUAUGUCCAGGGCUACUCACGUGCUACAAUGGUCGGUACAGAGGGUUGCCAAACCGCGAGGUGGAGCGAAUCCCUUAAAGCCGAUCGUAGUCCGGAUCGGAGUCUGCAACUCGACUCCGUGAAGUCGGAAGCGCUAGUAAUCGCAAAUCAGCAUGU